rnacentral:lncRNA from 13 species
GAAGAAAGAGGAAAGAGUGGAAAACAAACCAGAUGAGAGGAAGGCAUGAGGAAAGGCACAAAAGCAUGAUGUGCACAAGGUGAUCAGGAAAUGGCAAGCCCUCUCUGACGCUGCAGCAUCCGCCACAUGGAGGGUUGGAGAAGGAACGUCUUUGAACGUGGGCUAAGGUCUCAUCAUGGCUCUUCAUGUUCUGAGCAAAUGUUUCUGAACUGGAGGAAGAAAAUCUCUGUGUAGAAUGCCACGGGGUUGCUUAAGAAUCUCAGUAAGAAGAUCAAACAACCAAGCCACAGUUUAAAAGUAUUAUGUGAGCAUACACAAAUUUUAAUUUUAUUAACUACAUUUGUAAAUAUUGGAGAAGCUGGGGCAAAAAAUUGCACAGUCCCUCGAAAUAAAACUCUGAGAGCAAUUUUUAGCUCUUCUUUCUUCCUUCAUCUGUUCCCAAAUCACAAUCUGUCACCAUUUCCUACCAAGGCUACCUCUGACGUGUAAUUGUUUGGUUGUUUUUUCUUCUCUUCGAUCUCUGCUUUAGGUCUAUUGCCUGAUGGGAAUCUGUUUACCUGAUGAGACAUACAAAGCCAUUAAUCCCCUUAUUUGUAGACAUUUCUGGAUUUGUAUAAAAUAGCAUUGCUCGGCACAAUUUUACCCACGUUGUUCAUCAAAAAACCACUACUUAUGGAAAAAGUACCAUGGAAUAAAACCAAAACAAAGAAAUUUCAAACCUGUUCUAACACCAAAUGGAGGUGGUAUGGUCCCGAGAAGACGCGUGUGGACUCCUCCUCACGGCCAUCUCUGCUGGGAAAAAGAAACACGAAAAAGGCAAUAAUUUUGGAGGCCCAGAAAGUGACUCCAACCCGUGACAACAGGGUAGAAACUGGAGGUCAGGCUUUUCUCAGCCUGGUUUUUGGCUCAGAAACUGAAGUUGCAGGAGGAAGGCUGAAGACAAGGGGCUGCCGCCACCAGACCAGGGAAAGUCCCUGCAUGCCAGGCUUUGUCACGAUCACCAGCCUCUCCCAGACGCAGCCGGCAAAUGAGCAGUUCCCCAACAUGUGGGCAUGA